rnacentral:rRNA from 1 species
CCUACGGGCGGCAGCAGUCGAGAAUCAUUCACAAUGGGGGAAACCCUGAUGGUGCGACGCCGCGUGGGGGAAUGAAGGUCUUCGGAUUGUAAACCCCUGUCAUGUGGGAGCAAAUUAAAAAGAUAGUACCACAAGAGGAAGAGACGGCUAACUCUGUGCCAGCAGCCGCGGUAAUACAGAGGUCUCAAGCGUUGUUCGGAAUCACUGGGCGUAAAGCGUGCGUAGGCUGUUUCGUAAGUCGGGUGUGAAAGGCGCGGGCUCAACCCGCGGACGGCACAUGAUACUGCGAGACUAGAGUAAGGGAGGGGGAACCGGAAUUCGCGGUGUAGCAGUGAAAUGCGUAGAUAUCGAGAGGAACACUCGUGGCGAAGGCGGGUUCCUGGACAUUAACUGACGCUGAGGCACGAAGGCCAGGGGAGCGAAAGGGAUUAGAUACCCGGGUAGUC